rnacentral:rRNA from 1 species
GAUGAACGCUGGCGGCGUGCUUAACACAUGCAAGUCGAACGAUGAAGCCCAGCUUGCUGGGUGGAUUAGUGGCGAACGGGUGAGUAACACGUGAGUAACCUGCCCUUAACUCUGGGAUAAGCCUGGGAAACUGGGUCUAAUACCGGAUAGGAGCGUCCACCGCAUGGUGGGUGUUGGAAAGAUUUAUCGGUUUUGGAUGGACUCGCGGCCUAUCAGCUUGUUGGUGAGGUAAUGGCUCACCAAGGCGACGACGGGUAGCCGGCCUGAGAGGGUGACCGGCCACACUGGGACUGAGACACGGCCCAGACUCCUACGGGAGGCAGCAGUGGGGAAUAUUGCUCAAUGGGCGCAAGCCUGAUGCAGCGACGCCGCGUGAGGGAUGACGGCCUUCGGGUUGUAAACCUCUUUCAGUAGGGAAGAAGCGAAAGUGACGGUACCUGCAGAAGAAGCACCGGCUAACUACGUG